AGAGAACCGGUUCCCCCCUUCUCCCCUUUCCUCAUAACCUCCUCCUCUCUUCCCCCAAAGUCUUCCCCAAACUUUGAGAAUCCUUCCUCUACUGAAACUCUCCCCCAAACCUCCAUAAAGAAGAUCUCCAAACCUCUCCUCUCUAUCUCCUUGAUCUUGGCCGAACCCAAGGCUAGGGUUUGUUUUUUUGGGUUCAUCUCUUUGGGUUGGAAUUCCUUCUUCAAGCUUGGAACUUGGAUUACAGACUAGCCAUGUCGCCGAAGAGAUCACGUAUUUCAAGAAGCCGGUCUACCACUCAGUCUCGUGAGGUUGAACCUUCUUUAUUUGAAGCUUUUCAAGAAGGUUUACCUGUUCUAGAGGCUUGACAAUGUUUUUGAAAAAGGUCGAGAGAAAGGAGGAAUUUGUGAGAAUGUUUUUGGGUGGAGAGCUAAGACGAGGAGACUUUUGAUGAUUUUCUAUACCGGUGAUAAGUACUGAGAAAAGUUCAUAGUUGCAUUCUUCUAUCUUUUAUUUUCGUGAUUGUUAUUUAGGUUGUGUCUGUGGAGAAAACUCAGAAAAAGCAAUUUUGGUGUCAUAAGUCGACUCAUGCAUAGGCAUAAGUCGACUUGUGUCUGUGCAUGAGUCGACUUACGUUCUUCUCUGGAGUUGUUGGUUUCGCGCUCUGUCAAGUCGACUUAUCAGGCCUGAUAAAUCGACUUACGAUCUGUUCUCUAGUUCCUGGUUUCAUACUCUACCAAGUCGACUUAUCAAGCCUGAUAACUCGACUUACGACGGAUAUUUUGCACAUGUUAGUUUCCUGUUUGGAUUCUGUUUGGUUUCUGUUUUGAUAUAAAUAGGAACACGUUUUUCUAGGGUAGAGAGAGCGUUUUAAGCAAAGAAUUAGCAGUCUUUUGACAAGUGUGAGAGGGAGAUAUUAUGAGCAAGUUGAGAGAUUUGGUUGAGGGUUUAUUUG